rnacentral:rRNA from 1 species
AUACNUGCANGUCGAACGNGUAACAGCAGAGUUUACUUUGGCUGACGAGUGGCGCACGGGUGAGUAACGCGUACACUACCUACCUCGUACUGGGGAAUAGCCUCUGGAAACGGAGAAUAAUACCCCAUGGUCCCGCAAGGGUAAAGCUCCGGCGGUAUGAGAUGGGUGUGCGUCCCAUUAGCUAGUUGGUGAGGUAACGGCUCACCAAGGCGACGAUGGGUAGGGGGCGUGAGAGCGUGGCCCCCCACACGGGUACUGAGACACGGACCCGACUCCUACGGGAGGCAGCAGUAAGGAAUAUUGGACAAUGGGCGAAAGCCUGAUCCAGCCAUCCCGCGUGCAGGAUGACUGCCCUAUGGGUUGUAAACUGCUUUUACUUGGGAAGAAACGCCUGGAUUUAUCCGGGCCUGACGGUACCUUGUGAAUAAGCACCGGCUAACUCCGUGCCAGCAGCCGCGGUAAUACGGAGGGUGCAAGCGUUAUCCGGAAUCACUGGGUUUAAAGGGUGCGUAGGCGGCGUUAUAAGUCAGAAGUGAAAUCCCAUCGCUUAACGAUGGAACUGCUUUUGAUACUGUAAUGCUUGAAUUAGGUUGAGGUUAGCGGAAUGUGGCAUGUAGCGGUGAAAUGCUUAGAUAUGCCAUAGAACACCAAUUGCGAANGCAGCUGGCUGGACCUAUAUUGACGCUGANGCACGAAAGCGUGGGGAGCGAACAGGANUAGAUACCCUGGUAGUCCACGCCCUANACUAUGUUAACUCGAUGUUUGACCUANAGUUGAGCGUCCAAGGNNAACCGUUAAGUUAACCACNNGGGGNNUACGUUCGCAAGAAUGAAACUCAANGAAUUGAC